GCAGAAAGCGUCUAGCCAUGGCGUUAGUAUGAGUGUCGUGCAGCCUCCAGGACCCCCCCCUCCCGGGAGCCAUAGUGGUCUGCGGAACCGGUGAGUACACCGGAAUUGCCAGGACGACCGGGUCCUUUCUUGGAUCAACCCGCUCAAUGCCUGGAGAUUUGGGCGUGCCCCCGCGAGACUGCUAGUCGAGUAGUGUUGGGUCGCGAAAGGCCUUGUGGUACUGCGUGAUAGGGUGCUCGAGAGU
rnacentral:other from 1 species